CGCCCCGGCAACAAGUGCUGAGCGCUGAUUGGUCGAAGCACCCGGAGGCGCUCGGAUUGGUCCCGCGGCCAGCCGCGCACACCUUCCCCCCGCGGCAGCCAAUGGGAAGCCAGCGGCGAGCCGGGCAACCAAUCAGAGAGCUCUGAGUUACGCCGGGUCCCGCCCUCAAGCGGAGACCGCGAAAAAGCGCCCGGCGGCGGGAAGCGGGCGCGGUGGGCGGGGCUUGGCGGCCGCGCAGCCAAUGGGGAAGCCGGGCGCGUGGCGGGCCGAGAGCCGGUUCCGGUUCCGGUCCCGGUGCCGGUGCCGUCGCCAUGGAGCCGGCCGAGGCGGAGUUCCUGGCCGAGAAGGAGCUGGUGACGAUCGUGCCCAGCUUCAGCAUGGACCGCGUGCACCUCAUCGGGGGGGACCUGGGCCCUUUCAAUCCCGGGCUGCCGGUGGAGGUGCCCGUCUGGCUGGCCGUGAACCUGAAGCAGAGGCAGAAGUGCCGCCUGGUUCCCCCGGAGUGGAUGGAUGUGGAAAAACUGGAGGGGAUUCGGGACCAGGAACGCAAAGAGGACACCUUCACCCCGAUGCCCAGCCCCUACUACAUGGAGCUCACGAAGCUGCUGUUAAACUACGCCUCCGACAACAUCCCCAAAGCCGACGAGAUUCGCACGCUGGUGAAGGACACGUGGGACACGCGCAUGGCCAAGCUGCGGCUGUCCGCGGACAGCUUCGUCAGGCAGCAGGAGGCUCACGCCAAGCUGGAUAACCUAACCCUGAUGGAGAUCAACACCAUCGGGACUUUCCUCACCCAAGCCUUGGACCACAUGUACAAGCUGCGGACCAACCUCCAGCCCGCCGAGAGCUCCCAGUCCCAGGACUUCUGAGCACCGAACCUGCCCUGCCUUUCCUGCCCUCUCCUGGCUCCGCCGGUACCGCUUCCCAAGGCGGGCGCUGAUCAGCAAAAGCGACUGCGGCCGGCACCGAGUGGUUCGGCCGCCCCGCAGCGACGCCAAAGCGGUUUCAGGAGCCCAGCGCCGACGUUGUGACCCCAGCACCGCGGCGCUGCCACCGCUCCGGGGGGGGGGGGCGAGGAAGGGCUCGAGCUGGGGCGUCCCGAGCUUGGCGAGCACCCCAGGGAGCCAGGCGCGCGCCGAGCCUCGGGGUGCACCCCCCCCCCCCGAUUCCCCCUGCCCAAACGCCUUCGCUCCCCUCUCUCUGAUCGUCUCGGGAUUUCGGGGGAUUUGGGGGCUGCGACCCGCCGCGGCUGGGGCUUGGUGGGGUUGGGCCCCCCCCUCCCUGUGCUGACCAUUUCCAGCCCACACCCCCCCCUGCUGGCUUUUGGGUUUGGGGCCGGCACGACUCGUCCCCCCCCCCACCCUCACGCUGCACCGCAGCUGCCCCCCGAGCGCUUGGAGGGACCCAAAAAAGCCCCAGAAACCAAAGGGAAAA